rnacentral:rRNA from 1 species
GAUGAACGCUGGCGGCGUGCCUAAUACAUGCAAGUCGAGCGAACGGACGAGAAGCUUGCUUCUCUGAUGUUAGCGGCGGACGGGUGAGUAACACGUGGAUAACCUACCUAUAAGACUGGGAUAACUUCGGGAAACCGGAACUAAUACCGGAUGAUAUUUUGAACCGCAUGGUUCAAAAGUGAAAGACGGUCUUGCUGUCACUUAUAGAUGGAUCCGCGCUGCAUUAGCUAGUUGGUAAGGUAACGGCUUACCAAGGCAACGAUGCAUAGCCGACCUGGGAGGGUGAUCGGCCACACUGGAACUGAGACACGGUCCAGGCUCCUACGGGAGGCCGCAGUAGGGAAUCUUCCGCAAUGGGCGAGAGCCUGGCGGAGCAACGCCGCGUGAGUGAUGAAAGUCUUCGGAUCGUAAAGCUCUGUUAUUAGGGGAGAACAUAUGUGUAAGUAACUGUGCACAUCUUGACGGUACCUAAUCAGAAAGCCACGGCUAACUACGUG